UACGAAGGGGGCUAGCGUUGUUCGGAAUUACUGGGCGUAAAGCGCGUGUAGGCGGGUCUUUUAAGUCAGGGGUGAAAUGCCAAGGCUCAACCUUGGAACUGCCUUUGAUACUGGAGACCUUGAGUCCGGGAGAGGUGAGUGGAAUUGCGAGUGUAGAGGUGAAAUUCGUAGAUAUUCGCAAGAACACCAGUGGCGAAGGCGGCUCACUGGCCCGGAACUGACGCUGAGACGCGAAAAGCGUGGGGAGCAAACGGGG
rnacentral:rRNA from 1 species